AGGACGAACGCUGGCGGCGUGCUUAACACAUGCAAGUCGAGCGGUAAGGCCUUUCGGGGUACACGAGCGGCGAACGGGUGAGUAACACGUGGGUGAUCUGCCCUGCACUUCGGGAUAAGCCUGGGAAACUGGGUCUAAUACCGGAUAUGACCUCAGGUUGCAUGACUUGGGGUGGAAAGAUUUAUCGGUGCAGGAUGGGCCCGCGGCCUAUCAGCUUGUUGGUGGGGUAAUGGCCUACCAAGGCGACGACGGGUAGCCGACCUGAGAGGGUGACCGGCCACACUGGGACUGAGACACGGCCCAGACUCCUACGGGAGGCAGCAGUGGGGAAUAUUGCACAAUGGGCGAAAGCCUGAUGCAGCGACGCCGCGUGAGGAUGACGGCCUUCGGGUUGUAAACCUCUUUCAGCAGGGACGAAGGCGCAAGUGACGGUACCUGCAGAAGAAGCACCGGCUAACUACGUGCCAGCAGCCGC
rnacentral:rRNA from 1 species